UUCACAUGCCAAUCAAAGCUAAAUGUGUCCAUAGGCAGCUGUCAGUCUUUGGAAAUCCUUAGGGCAUAUAUAAGAAGUUUGGAAAGGUUCUUGUUGCUGCUGGUUCUGGGGCCACAUACCGCUUGAAUUUUCGCUUAGGAAAUGCGCUUCUGAUUUUAUUUCAUUGUAUACGGAUUUCGGGCUUUGAUUUUUUUAANUUUGUAAAGCUGCAGCCAUCAUUAACGGAUUAUGAAGAUAUUCCGGCCAUUUGACGUCCUCUUGUUGGCUUCCCAUUAGCUGGUUUUGACCCUCUUUCUCCGUUGAGCUACAGUCCCCCAAUCCCCAAGAAAAGAUGGUGCUCUCAAAGAAAGAGCUGUUGCUUUGUAGCUCGGCGUUGCCGCUGCUUCCAGUGCUGCUGUUACUAUUGUUGCU
rnacentral:misc_RNA from 1 species